AUUGAACGCUGGCGGCAGGCCUAACACAUGCAAGUCGAGCGAGCGGCGGACGGGUGAGUAAUGUAUGGGGAUCUGCCCGAUCGAGGGGGAUAACUACUGGAAAAGGUGGCUAAUACCGCAUACUAUCGGAUGAACCCAUAUGGGAUUAGCUAGUAGGUGGGGUAAAGGCUCACCUAGGCGACGAUCUCUAGCUGGUCUGAGAGGGUGACAAGCCACACUGGGACUGAGACACGGCCCAGAUUCCUACGGGAGGCAGCAGUGGGGAAUAUUGCACGAUGGGCGGAAGCCUGAUGCAGCCAUGCCGCGUGUAUGAAGAAGGACUUAGGGUUGUAAAGUACUGUCAGCGGGGAGGCGUUACCCGCAGAAGAAGCACCGGCUAACUCCGUGCCAGCAGCCGCGGUAAUUC
rnacentral:rRNA from 1 species